rnacentral:rRNA from 1 species
AGUAGUUUGAUCAGUGGCUCGAGGACGAACGCUGGCGGGGUGCUUCACACAUGCAAGUCGAACGAGGUAGCAAUACCUAGUGGCGGACGGGUGAGUAACGCGUGGGAAUCUGCCUUUAGAUGGGGGAUAACGGGUCGAAAGACUCGCUAAUACCGCAUAUGACGAAAGUUGAAAGGAGUAAUCCGUCUAAAGAUGAGCCCGCGUCCGAUUAGCUAGUUGGUAGAGUAAAAGCCUACCAAGGCGACGAUCGGUAGCUGGUCUGAGAGGAUGAUCAGCCACAAUGGGACUGAGACACGGCCCAUACUCCUACGGGAGGCAGCAGUGGGGAAUUUUACGCAAUGGGCGAAAGCCUGACGUAGCGACACCGCGUGAGCGAAGAAGCCCCUUGGGGUGUAAAGCUCUGUCAGCUGGAACGAAAAAAUGACGGUACCAGCAGAGGAAGCAUCGGCUAACUACGUG